rnacentral:rRNA from 1 species
UACGUAGGUGGCGAGCGUUAUCCGGAUUUAUUGGGUUUAAAGGGUGCGUAGGCGGAUCGUUAAGUCAGUGGUCAAAUUGAGGGGCUCAACCCCUUCCCGCCAUUGAAACUGGCGAUCUUGAGUGGAAGAGAAGUAUGCGGAAUGCGUGGUGUAGCGGUGAAAUGCAUAGAUAUCACGCAGAACCCCGAUUGCGAAGGCAGCAUGCCGGCUUCCGACUGACGCUGAAGCACGAAAGCGUGGGGAUCGAACAGG